UUCUUUGAAAUCUUGCCGUUGUUCUUCCAAAUCUUGCUGCUAUUCAUCGUUGCUACUGCCCACAGUUCUGUUCUUCUCUCCAACCUUCGUCUCCUCACACCCAUGCUCCUACUCCUUCCCUCUUUCUCUCCCUGCCGCUCCACCGCUGCUCCUCUUCUCUCUCAACGCUUGUUGUUGCUGAUGCCCGCAACCUCCUGUUGCUGCUCCUUCCACGCCCAAGUUGCUGCUCUUCUCUCAACCCCACGUUGCUGCUCCAUCUCUCUACUUCCUUUGCUCCCCUUCUUCUUCUCUGAACCCAAACUGCUGCCGCAUCUCUUCUCUCUUUAAUUCUUGCAAAUUUCUGUAAAGGUGAACCUUGUGUACUGUUCUGAACACCCAAUUUGUGCUUAUUUUAUGUAUGUAUUAGUGUCUCUGAUAUAUGUGAAAUUGUGAGUUGCCGAGCGGAUCAUUUCGAGUAGACUUGAACUGUCAUAUAUUGUGAGUCAUAUUUUUGUAAAUUCGUGAUUGUGGUUAAUUCUAGUAACCGUGGUGUUACAUAUUUGUGGAUCUCAUGUACAUGUUUUAAUCUAUGAAUUCCAUUGCUAUAGACUUGAAU
rnacentral:lncRNA from 1 species